GAACAACUCCUUGAAGUUUGUUCCACAUAUAUGUAUCCGUACUGUAUAAUGCAAAGAACGUGAUGAAGAACAGUGUUAGCGUCCAUAGUUCACAUACAUAUGAGUUACUUAAUUAACAGAUUAUUUUUUUUAAGGCUAAUGAUGACUUUUAUGAUCUUGUUGCUUCGUAUUUUUCGUUAGGAUUCCAAUAUAAAGAAACUAACAUUUCUGAAUGUUUUGCACAAAACAGAUUUAUCGUCGGACCUUGAAGACGUAAACAUUUUUCAAGAAUAGAAGAUGCACAGAAAACGAAUUUAACACAUCUAGUCAACUUCAUGGUUACAAAUGGAUGCAUUUUCGUUGCUUGCAGAACAAUUUUAUCAUAACAUAGCAAGUUGUUAAAGAACUCCUUAGUUUACUGGAUCCAGUUGGAGUUGAAGGGCGCAAAAGAUAUCGGCUUCGUCGCAGGCAAUACGACAAUAAAGGUCCAAAUUAUCUAUAGCAUAUGAUAAACAAAAGUCCUACGGUAUCUGUAUUAACGGCUGUAUAGAUGGUUUUUCGGGGCAUAUCAUGUGGCGACCCUAAGGUAAUUGGAGGAUGUUUCUUAGAAGCAGUGAAGUCCAACGGAGGAUGUCCCAGAACUUUAUGAACCGAUAUGGGCACUGAAAAUGGAGUAAUGGAGAGGAUACAAAACGCCUUUCAUGAAGUAUUUGCUGAAUCAACAAAUCGACCAUGUUUUUUGUAUGGAAAAAGCAUGCACAAUCAAAGGAUAGAAUCUUGGUUGUCUAUAUUAAGUAAACAUAAUGCACAAUACUGGAUGAAUUCAUUUCAAACCCUAAUAGAUGACAAUUUAUUUGAUGGAUCAUUUAUGGACAAGUCUCUAGUUUAAUUUUGUUUCAUACCAUUAGUACAAAUGAGAGGAAAGUUGUUAAUGAAAUUUUAAUUAUGAUUUUUAUUUCAGAGUGAUUUUGACCAAGUAUGUUUGGAAUUGAGUAUUCAUAGAAUACGGAAAACAAGAAAUGCUAUUGCUCCAGCAGGGAGACCAAGUAUAUUGUAUGCGAUGCCUUCCCUUUAUGGAGUUACAGAUUACCUGAUCAAGAUUCCAUCAUUCGCUUUUAAACAUUUUUCUUCGGAGUUUACAUAUCCCCGGACAGCCUGUGAUGAAGAUUUUUGGAAAUUAUGUUCAAUUUUGAUGAAAAAAAAAAAAUUGCACAAGGUCACCAAGAUCCUUAUGCCACAAUUGAUUUAUACAUUAACCUCAGAAGUGAAUUAAUUACGUUAUUUCAAUAAAUUUUAGAUUGAUAAU